CUUCAGGUGGCAGACAAAUUGCUUUGAGUUUUUACCUCAACAAAUGGGGUUUUCCCCCUGAAGC
rnacentral:tRNA from 1 species